AGCCUGAACGCUGGCGGCGUGGCUAAGACAUGCAAGUCGUACGGGCGUAGCAAUACGUCAGUGGCGAACGGGUGAGUAAAGUAUCGCUAACGUACCCCUAUGUCCGGGAUAGCUGAGGGAAACUUCAGGUAAUACCGGGUGACAUUCUCUUUUCGCAUGAAGAGGGACUCAAAGGGAAACCGCAAAGGGAGCGGGCGAUAUCGUAUCAGCUAGUUGGUGAGGUAAUGGCUCACCAAGGCAAUGACGCGUAGCCGGACUGAGAGGUCGGACGGCCACAUUGGGACUGAGACACUGCCCAGACUCCUACGGGGGCUGCAGUAACGAAUCUUCCGCAAUGCACGCAAGUGUGACGGAGCGACGCCGCGUGUGGGACGAAGUCCUUCGGGAUGUAAACCACUGUCAGGGGUUACCAAGUUCUGAGGAACCCCAGAGGAAGGCACGGCUAACUCUGCGCCAGCAGCCGC
rnacentral:rRNA from 1 species